GACGAACGCUGGCGGCGUGCCUAACACAUGCAAGUCGAGCGGGGUUGAAGCGAGAGGUAACUCGAGCUUCUACCUAGCGGCGGACGGGUGAGUAACGCGUGGGCAACCUGCCUCAAGGUUUGGGAUAACAGCCCGAAAGGGCUGCUAAUACCGGAUAUGCCUAUGGCCUCGCAUGGGGCUAUGAGCAAAGGGGAAACCCGCCUUGAGAUGGGCCCGCGUCCCAUCAGCUAGUUGGUGAGGUAACAGCUCACCAAGGCGACGACGGGUAACCGGCCUGAGAGGGUGACCGGCCACACUGGGACUGAGACACGGCCCAGACUCCUACGGGGGGCAGCAGUGGGGGAUCUUGCACAAUGGGCGAAAGCCUGAUGCAGCGACGCCGCGUGAGCGAAGAAGGCCUCGGUUGUAAGACUCUGUCUGAGGGACGGAAGAAAGUAGAGGUACCUCCGGACGGAAGCCACGGCUAACUAACGUGCCAGCAGCCGCGGUAAAGUACUACUACGU
rnacentral:rRNA from 1 species